AUUGAACGCUGGCGGCAGGCCUAACACAUGCAAGUCGAGCGGAGCGGCGGACGGGUGAGUAAUGCCUAGGAAUCUGCCUGGUCGUGGGGGAUAACGUCCGGAAACGGGCGCUAAUACCGCAUACUAUCAGAUGAGCCUAGGUCGGAUUAGCUAGUUGGUGGGGUAAAGGCCUACCAAGGCGACGAUCCGUAACUGGUCUGAGAGGAUGAUCAGGCACAGUGGAACUGAGACAAGGUCCAGACUACUACGGGAGGCAGCAGUGGGGAAUAUUGGACAAUGGGCGAAAGCCUGAGCCAGCCAGGCCGCGUGUGGGAAGAAGGUCUUCGGAUUGUAAAGCACUUUAAGUUGGGAGGUGUUACCAACAGAAUAAGCACCGGCUAACUUCGUGCCAGCAGCCGCGGUAAUAC
rnacentral:rRNA from 1 species